CGCGCGCGCCCGCCCGCCCAGCGGCUCCCCGGCUCGCGCCGCGUCCAUGUAGCCCCGGAUCCCCGGGAGACCGAGGAGGAGGGGGCGACCACAAGAUGGCGGAUCUCUCGCUGCUCCAGGAGGACCUGCCGGACGACGCGGACGGAUUUGGUGUGGAUGACUACAGCUCAGAGUCUGAUGUGAUUAUUGUACCUUCAGCCCUGGACUUUGUCUCACAAGAUGAAAUGUUGACGCCGCUGGGAAGAUUGGACAAGUAUGCAGCAAGUGAGAACGUAUUUAACAGACAAAUGGUGGCCCGGAGUUUGCUGGAUACAUUGAGGGAAGUCAGCGAUGAUGAAAGAGAUUGUAUUGCUGUUUUGGAAAGAAUUAGCAGAUUAGCUGAAGAUUCAGAACCAACUGUGAGAGCAGAGCUGAUGGAACAGGUGCCUCAUAUUGCGUUGUUUUGUCAAGAAAACCGGCCUUCAAUCCCAUAUGCUUUUUCCAAAUACUUACUGCCUAUCGUGGUCAGAUAUCUUGCAGACCAGAAUAACCAGGUGAGAAAAACCAGUCAGGCAGCUUUGCUGGCUCUGCUGGAGCAGGAGCUAAUUGAGCGAUAUGAUGUAGAGACCAGAGUGUGCUCAGUCCUUAUAGAACUAACUGCUCCAGAUAGCAAUGAUGAUGUGAAGACAGAAGCUGUGGCUAUAAUGUGCAAAAUGGCUCCCAUGGUUGGGAAGGACAUUACCGAACGUCUUAUCCUCCCUAGGUUUUGUGAGAUGUGCUGUGAUUGCAGAAUGUUUCAUGUUCGAAAGGUCUGUGCUGCCAAUUUUGGAGAUAUUUGCAGUGUAGUUGGCCAGCAAGCUACGGAGGAAAUGUUGCUGCCCAGGUUUUUCCAGCUUUGUUCUGAUAACGUCUGGGGAGUUCGGAAGGCUUGUGCUGAAUGCUUCAUGGCGGUUUCAUGUGCAACAUGUCAAGAAAUCCGGCGGACUAAAUUAUCGGCACUGUUUAUUAAUUUGAUCAGUGAUCCUUCACGUUGGGUUCGCCAAGCUGCCUUUCAGUCUCUGGGACCGUUCAUAUCUACUUUCGCUAAUCCAUCUAGCUCAGGCCAGUAUUUUAAAGAAGAAAGCAAAAGUUCGGAAGAUAACUUGUCAGUAGAAGGCAAAAAUAGAGUCAGUGAUGGAGAAGUCCCAGAGGCUAUACAGACGCAGCCAGAGGCAGCACCUUCUGGUCCCAGCGUCAAUGACUCGAGUGUCAAACUGGAAAGCACAACGGAGGAGCUUGUGGAAACCACUCGGAGGUCUCCAGCUGAAAAAAGUGUUGCGGUGGACGGCUCCCUGCUCUGUGCUUUGUCCUCAGACCCUCAUCAGGAUGCAGCUAGCCAUGUGAAUGAUAAAAAGCCUGGUAACUACACAUCCCUACUGCAGCCCGAGGUGGGCUCUGGUUCACAGGAUCCCACUGUCUCAGAUCAGGAAUUGUACAACUCCUUCCAUUUCUGGAGGACUCCUCUUCCUGACAUAGAUAUCGAUACAGAGCUUGAACUCGACUCUGGGGGUGAAUACAGCCCAGAGAGACCAGAAGAAACUCCUGAGGUCUCUGGGCCAUGUUCUCCAAGUAUCACCAUGGCUACCAGAAGGGAGCUUGAAGAAAUGAUAGAAAAUUUAGAGCCCCAUAUCGAUGAUCCAGAUGUUAAAGCCCAAGUGGAAGUGCUGUCCGCGGCACUGCGCGCCUCCCGGCUGGACACGCACGAGGAGACCGCCAGUAAUGACAAGAGAAGUGAUUCGCUACCAAAUGGUCAAGUAAAUCAAGAUGAUUCUGUGCCUUUAAUCUGCGAUGCUGUCGAGAAUAUGGACUGCACUCUUCGCUAUAUUCAUGAUUCAGACCUGAGCACCAAUAAUAGUUUUAGCCCUGAUGAGGAAACGAAAUCCAAAGUACAAGAUGUUGUACCUCAGGCUUUACUAGAUCAGUAUUUAUCUAUGACCGACCCUUCUCGUGCACAGACAGUGGACACUGAAAUUGCUAAACACUGUGCGUAUAGCCUUCCUGGUGUGGCCCUCACACUGGGCAGGCAGAAUUGGCACUGCCUGAGAGAGACUUACGAGACCCUGGCUUCAGACAUGCAAUGGAAAGUUCGAAGAACUUUAGCGUUCUCCAUCCAUGAGCUUGCAGUUAUUCUUGGAGAUCAGCUGACGGCUGCAGAUCUUGUUCCAAUUUUUAAUGGAUUUUUAAAAGACCUGGAUGAAGUCCGGAUAGGUGUCCUGAAACAUUUGCAUGAUUUUCUGAAGCUUCUUCAUAUUGACAAAAGAAGAGAAUAUCUUUAUCAACUUCAAGAGUUUUUGGUGACAGAUAAUAGUAGAAAUUGGCGCUUUCGAGCUGAACUGGCUGAACAGUUGAUUUUACUUCUAGAAUUAUACAGCCCCAGAGAUGUGUAUGACUACUUGCGUCCCAUCGCUCUGAAUCUCUGUGCAGAUAAAGUUUCUUCUGUUCGCUGGAUUUCCUACAAGUUGGUUAGUGAAAUGGUGAAGAAACUGUACGUGGCAACACCCCCAACAUUUGGAGUCGACCUCAUAAAUGAACUGGUAGAAAAUUUCGGUCGAUGUCACAAAUGGUCUGGUCGGCAAGCCUUUGUCUUUGUCUGCCAGACUGUCAUUGAGGACGAUUGUCUUCCCAUGGACCAGUUUGCGCUGCAUCUUAUGCCACAUUUACUCACCUUAGCAAAUGACAGGGUUCCAAAUGUCAGAGUACUGCUUGCAAAAACAUUGCGACAAAGCCUGUUAGAGAAAGAAUAUUUCUUAAAUUCUGCCAACUGUCACCAGGAGGCUGUAGAACAGACAAUUAUGGCUCUUCAAAUGGAUCGUGACAGUGAUGUGAAAUACUUCGCAAGCAUUCACCCUGCCAGCACCAAAAUUGCUGAAGAUGCCAUGAGCACAGCUUCUUCCACUUACUAAAGAGCUUGUCUCUCAGCGUCUUUCCUGGGCGAGGUUCUCCACGUGCUUCUCACAUGUAUGAUCUGCAGCGGCCUUUUGUGGAGAAGGAAAGACCUUCCUCUCUUGCCAGACUUAAGUGCAGGCAUGUUAUGGGGCAGCAGGAGCUGAGCUGAACAUGAGAACCAGGGGCUGAACUUUUGAAGACCACAAGGGUACUGAAACCAAGUGUGGCCUCUCACGGGACAGGAUCUAAGGUAGAAAGUAGUGUGAGACCAAGCAAACACAGUUAUUCAAUGAUUCCUUUCAAAACCACCAGGAGGUGAAAACAAAAGCAGCAAGCCAAUUAGUACUCAAACUUUUAAUUUCACAAUAUACAAAUGAAUAAAAUGGUUGUAAUUAUGUCCUUGUAGGUAUUUAAUACUGCAUUACUAAUCAUAGAAGAUAUUCAGUGAUGUCUUAGGACUUUUGAAUGAAUAAGGAUGAAGAAGAAAACUUAAAAUAGCUCAUUGUCCAGCCCAUGUACUUGGUUGUUGCCAGAAGUUUCUUCUCCAGUCCGGUCCCCCUGUCCUCCACCCCCUCCGACCCCGCCGUGUGCACUUGCACGAGGGGCCUCCUCGCAAGCAUUGUAUGGGUUACAUUCAUGUGCUGUACUCGGUCUCUGUAGCCCUGCUGGGUGGGAGAAGUAUGUUUCUGUGAGUGUCACUUAUUGAAUGUACUAAUCCCAGGGGGCCAGACUUCCCAUCUGACCACUCAGGGCAGUUAUUCGGGUGUGUGAGACUUGGUCCUGAGCACAGAUACUUCUGCAGUGCCAGACCUCUGGUGCAUGUAGCACCGGCUAACUCGGACUUGGCUGGUACCGUGUUCUGAGACAGCGACUGUGGACAGUAGCACUCAUGUCCCCAGAGAUCCCUACACCUGGCCAGUCUGCUGCUGAGCACCUGCCCUGGGUGACGUCAGUGUGCUGAGCUGUUGUUGGCUCCAAGCUCAGGAGGUGGCUACAGCAUCAUCAUUUCUCCUUCCUGAACAGUACACGCUCCCCUGACCUGGGGCUGGACCUCUCUCCUGGCCUACAGGGCCCCGAGUAGGGUUGAAGGGAAGUGUCAGCAACCACAUACCCACUGCAGCAUGGAACUCUCGCAUCAGCAGUAGGCCGUGGUAGAUUUCGUGUGUUUCUGUCUUCACAUGCCCAACUAUCACCAGCACAGCUCAGGAAAGACGGGACCAACAUGAGUGAGAGGCCAGACUUCUAAAGUGACCGUCUAUAGCAAAAGCUGCUGCAUCUCGGGCACCGGGAAGCAAGUGAUUCCUUCCUUGUAUGGUCAUGUUUCUGUGUGAGAUACCAGGAGACUGAGGAGAGCAAUGAGGGAGGGAAGGAAGGAAACUCGCAGCAAUUCAAAACAAGCAAGUAGCCUCUUAAUAUCCCUCUAACUCAUACCAGAAGAAAAUGAAUUGAGUGUGGAAACAAAUGUGAAAAAGCAAGACUUUGUGGUUUCUCUUGAGUUUUUACUUCUAAGUUGUUAUAAACUGAGGUGGCAUCUUAGUCAUUGCCUGGGGCAUCACCUGAGGCAGAUGCCUUACAGGACGUUGCUGAAUGUUCUCAGAACACAUCCCCACCACUCAGUUUUGCUUCUACACCUAUAGCUAGACUUAAGUCCCAGUGAGCCCCAAAACGUAAAGUACAAGGCAUGACCCAGGAGGAGGUACACAACACUCCAGAAGAACUGCCUGAGUUUUCUAAUAUAUACAAACAGAAACCUCGGGAAUAUGUGUGAGAAUGGCUAUUAAAAGUGUGGGAUAGGGCAGAACCAAGAUGGUGGAAUAGACGCUUCCUUCAAGCCCUCUUUACAACAAAGACCCGAAAAAACAAGUGAAAUUCACGAGUAUAUUUAUGACAAGCUGGGAGCCCUGAGCAUCAAAGACAAGCUUAGACAAAGAACUGAGGGGAAGGGGAAGGAAGAGACUAUUCAGAGGCGGAGAAGAGUUGCCGGAGCUGAAUCGCGGGGAGCCUCAGGCACCGCUCCCAGAGCAGUGGUGGCAGCAGGCUGGUACUAGCGUUUGGCCGCAGUUUCCUCAGGGAGAAGCAGCCCGCCACACAGUCCACUCACACCUCCGGAACCUGAGGAGACGGGCGCCCUUGGCAAAAGCUAAGUACUUGCGUAUAUCUUACCAUGCCCCCUGCCCCCAAGCCAGCUUCAGUGGCUGAAUCCCUAGGCCUGAGAUAGACCCUGUUGAGAACCUGGAGCCGUCCUCCCGGCCUUGAGGAAGGAAAAAAUUUGCAACUGGGGGGACAAGAUAAUUUGCUAGCUCCAUUCACUGGGAGAGCUCAGAACAGAAGCGGUUCCUGUCCAGGCAUAAACUGACCAUGGACCUUGAGCACCUUUCCAUUCUGCACGGACUUGUGUGGGCCUAUUUCGGGAGAAUAAGCCCUUAUUGGCAAACUCCAACCACUUGAGCGGUACAGUGGAGAGGUGGGUGUUUGACGUAUGACGUUGCUUUGCCUGUUAAACACGGUCCUCACCUACCUGCAACAGGGACCUAAGGACUGGUGGGUCCACUUGGGUUGCCCUUCCACCAGCAACAGGAGUCCAGGGAUAACUGGUACCUCCCAGUCCUUGCAACAAAAACUGUGUGUGCCCAUGGUCUCUCUGCAGAGCCCACCCACCAGCACGCCCUAGGAAACAGACACGUUUUCCACAGAGACACUUGGGGGUCGGUUCUCAGCCCCCUGCCUUGUUCAGAGCGUGACCCCCUGGUGCAAUCAGAUACAGGUAUAUACGCCAAUCACCCCUGCCUCUCUAAGACUGUAGGACAGAGCCUGUACCACACACUUGAUAUCAGCCACCUGGAAACCUAAGCUGAAUUCAUACAAGAAAAGUGAAUGGACUUCUAGACUGAUAGACCUGAUAACAGGUCUAGCAGGCUGCGAACAGGACACCAGAGCUCCAAAGGCGAAAAUAAGCUAGCUCACUCAAGCAACCCAUAGGGGUAUACCAAAACAAAAAAAAGCAAGUAUCUACGACACGGUAAGCAAGCAUAAACUAAUACAACAACUUAUAGAUAGCUCGGAGACAACAGUCAAUAUCAAGUCACAUAAAGACACAGGCUAUGAUCACCUCAACAGGCUCUCAAAGAAUCCAGGGAUCUUUUAGAUGAAAGUGCAUUCCUGGAAUUACCAGAUGCAGAAUACAAAAGUUUAAUAUACAGAACCCUUCAAAACAUCAGGAAGGAAAUGAGGCAAUACGCAGAACAAGCCAAGGAACACACAGAUAAAGCAAGUAAAGAAAUCAGAAAGAUUAGUCAGGAACAUAAUGAAAACUUUAAUAAGCAGGAAAAACCCAUAGACAGACAGCAAUCAGAAAUUCAGAAGAUUAACAAUAAAAUUACAGAAUUAGAUAAUAGAAAGUCAGAGGAGCAGAAUUGAGCAAGUAGAAGCUAGAAUUUCUGAACUCGAAGAUAAAUCAUUUGGCACAAAUAUAUUUGAAGAAAAAUCAGAUAAAAAUUUAAAAAAAUGAAGAAACCUUAAGAAUCAUGUGGGACUCUAUCAAGAAAAAUAACCUACGAGUGACUGGAGUACCAGAACAGGGAGGGAUAACAGAAAGUACAGAGAAAAUUGUUGAGGAUUUGUUGGCAGAAAACUUCCCUGAUACUGUGGAAGAUGAGAAGAUACCUAUCGAACUCCACAUAAGGUAGAUCUUAAAAGAAAGUCACCAAAACAUAUUAUAAUCAAGCUUGCCAAAACCAAAGAUAAAGAGACAAUUAUAAGAACAGCGAGGGAUAAAAGAGAAGUCACCUACACGGGAGAGCCAAUAAGAAUAAGCUUGGACUACUCGGCAGAAACCAUGCAGACAAGAAGGCAAUGGGGUGACAUAUUUAAAAAACUGAAGGAAAAAAAUUGCCUGCCAAGAAUCAUAUAUCCAUCAAAACUGUCUCUUAAAUAUGAAGGUGAAAUUAAGACAUUCCCAGAAAAACACAAGUUGAGGGAAUUCAUAAAAACCAAACCAAAACUACAAGAAAUACUUAAAGGAGUUCUUUGGUUCGAAAAUUAAUAAAAUCAGGUAUCGACCCAAGACUAGAACACUGGGCAGAGCAACCAGAAGUCAACCCAGACACGGAAAUCCAAAAAAAAAAAA